rnacentral:rRNA from 1 species
UACAGAGGGGGCAAGCGUUGUUCGGAAUUACUGGGCGUAAAGGGCGCGUAGGCGGCCGCCUAAGUCAGACGUGAAAUCCCUCGGCUCAACCGGGGAACUGCGUCCGAUACUGGAAGGCUUGAAUCCGGGAGAGGGAUGCGGAAUUCCAGGUGUAGCGGUGAAAUGCGUAGAUAUCUGGAGGAACACCGGUGGCGAAGGCGGCAUCCUGGACCGGUAUUGACGCUCAGGGGCGAAAGCGUGGGGAGCAAACCGG